rnacentral:misc_RNA from 1 species
ACUCGACCGUUUACUCUAACUGUUCCUGACUCGACGCUCUAUCUUGCUCGGAUAAGGAGUCAUAGUUGUGCGCCUGAGUCGAGGUUAUCCGACUUUGAAUGAAUUUAACUCACAGAUUGCUUGGCCCCAGGCUCAACCAGCUCGGAUAAGGAGUCUCGGUUGGUAUGGGGUUAAGCUUUGGGAGAAGGGCGCUUGCAGCAGCUGCUGUGCGAUCCGGUGCUUGUGAGAAUCUUCUUGCAGGGGAGUUGCCGAUCAUACCCAGCCGGCAUGUCAUGGGGAUCGAAUCCCUGUGGUAUGUUGUGCCGUAGAGCUUUCGAUGAGUUGCUUCAGCCUAAUACAGGCGGCGAUGCAUCGAACAGCACUGGUCUUCUGAUGUUUCCUUGUAUGAGAGCUUCAUGUUCAGCAUGAAGCGGGUCCAUGUCUGAAUCUUCCAAGCUUGCGCUUGUGAAUGAAUCAGCUGUCGAGAGAGUGAUGUGGGGGUGGAUCGAUUCAGCGGCCUGAGCCCGAGUUGGGUGGUGCUAGCUCGCCUUCCAAUGCAAGCUCUGCCUGCGAAUUACCAGCCCUGCUGAUCUCAAACGUUACAGUAUCUAUCAGCCUGGCA